AUGGCGGCGCAAGAGAAUACCCAAUUUUCCAGCCGCGAUGGAAGCCAAGAUCAGCUUGUUGUCAUCUCCGACACUCUUAAGCUGCUGCACCCUGUCGCCACUACUUUUGCAGUACUGGCAGCUUAUGCACUGUUGCUUAUGAUCAGUACAAACUACAUCCAAAUAGCUGCGAUCCCGGCUAUCAUACUUGCUUUCAUUGGUGCUUUGUGGGGCAAUUUCUGGGUCAAGGGAAGACUUCAGCAUAGAAACAACAAUGGAACUGCUGCUAAUCCAGCUUGGAGGAUGCUGCUACCCACGGUACUACUGUCGUAUUGUUUGCAGCUAAUCCAGCUUGCCUGUGCACAAGCGACCAACGGACAACAAAGUGACAAUUUCCUUCUCUCUCACUCCCUCCUCUUCUUUAGUUCCGCGCUUGGUGCACUGGCCGUGAUGAUUUCUGCGCUGCCCAUCAGAGCCAAUCAAUGUGUGGCGCAGGGGCAGCAACUGAUUCACAGGACCUUCAUUGUGGUUUUUAUGAUAGCAGUGCACAUCAUGGCUACAGAACAGAUGGUGGAGGGCAUGUUACUGGUUUGCAUGCCGGAGUUUAUUGCAUCACUUGUGUGGUUCACUGUUAAUUUUGAUCACGCCAGAUGUAUGGCGUACAUCGACAAGGUAACAUCACGCAAAUCAACAGUCAGCUUUCUCACUGCAGCAGUGGCUCUGUUAGCGUUCAUGUUUGCAUAUGAGAACGAGAUGGUACUUGCUAAUUACUGGCACAGAAGAAUCCUGUACUCCUGUACCUUGUCAGGGCUUCUAUCCUGCUUGUGCGUGUGUAUGAUCCUGCAGUGGCGGCCGGAUAUCUCUGCUAAUGUGUCCCUUGACUGGCCGAGCGAUAGUGCGAUCAUUUCCAUAAGGAUCCUCGAAUUCUCGGCACUGAUUUGCUUUGCUAUGUCAGCUGUGCUUCUCUUCAUUGGGUUCCUCUUGAAUUACUCAAUUCUGUAG
rnacentral:rRNA from 1 species